rnacentral:rRNA from 1 species
GAUGAACGCUAGCUACAGGCUUAACACAUGCAAGUCGAGGGGAAACGACAUCGAAAGCUUGCUUUUGAUGGGCGUCGACCGGCGCACGGGUGAGUAACGCGUAUCCAACCUGCCCAUUACUUGGGAAUAACCUUGCGAAAGUAAGACUAAUACCCAAUGACAUCCCACGAAGACAUCUGAAUGGGAUUAAAGAUUUAUCGGUGAUGGAUGGGGAUGCGUCUGAUUAGCUUGUUGGCGGGGUAACGGCCCACCAAGGCAACGAUCAGUAGGGGUUCUGAGAGGAAGGUCCCCCACAUUGGAACUGAGACACGGUCCAAACUCCUACGGGAGGCAGCAGUGAGGAAUAUUGGUCAAUGGGCGAGAGCCUGAACCAGCCAAGUAGCGUGCAGGAUGACGGCCCUAUGGGUUGUAAACUGCUUUUAUAAGGGAAGAAAGUGGGUCUCGUGAGACUUUUUGCAUGUACCUUAUGAAUAAGGACCGGCUAAUUCCGUG